UACGGAGGGUGCAAGCGUUACUCGGAAUUACUGGGCGUAAAGCGCGUGUAGGCGGUUUCGUAAGUCUGGUGUGAAAUCCCGGGGCUCAACCCCGGAAGUGCAUUGGAUACUGCGGAACUAGAGUAUGGGAGAGGAUGGCGGAAUUCCAGGUGUAGAGGUGAAAUUCGUAGAUAUCUGGAGGAACAUCAGAGGCGAAGGCGGCCAUCUGGACCAUUACUGACGCUGAGACGCGAAAGCGUGGGGAGCAAACAGG
rnacentral:rRNA from 1 species